rnacentral:lncRNA from 1 species
CGUUGAAAUCGAACAUCACGACGAUGGGGCCGCUGGUGCUUCCGGCGUCGGAGCAGUUGCUCUUCCUUCUGACGCUGAUCGGCAGGAAAAUCGUGAACCCGAAAUGGAAGCCGUACAUUCCGGAUUUCAAGCAGGCGUUCGAGCACUUCUGCAUCCACGCGGGAGGGAGGGCGGUGAUCGACGAGCUGCAGAAGAACCUGCAGCUGUCGGCGGAGCACUGCGAGGCGUCGAGGAUGACGCUGCAUAGGUUCGGC